rnacentral:misc_RNA from 1 species
CGCGGGUAAACCCGCUCCCACAGGUACUCCACAGGCACUGAAAGCCGUGGAGAUCCUGUGGGAGCGGGUUUACCCGCG